UCUGUCCUUGCCGUCCGCCUUCUUCCCGCGGGGGCGGUCGCGGCCCCUCAGGCGGGAGAAGGUUCUUCGCAGCAGCGGCUCCGCCAUCGCUUCCCCUCACCGGGGGAGCUCCUCACACGGCUGGGAACCGCCCCCCCUGCCCUCACCCCGGCCUCUUCGCUCCGUCCGGGUUCCCUUCAGCCCUUCCCGCUCCCCUCAGGCCGUCGUGUCCCCUCAGCGCGGCGGGGCCGCCAUCCCGCGGCGGCUCGGUCCCCGCAGCCCCUCGGGGUCCCCCUCAGCCCUUCCCGGUCCCCUCAGCUUUUCGGGGUCCCCCUCAGCCCUUCCCGGUCCCCUCAGCCCUUCCCGGUCUCCUCAGCCUUUCGGGGUCCCCUCAAGCCUUUCGGGGUCCCCUCAGUCCUUCUCGGUCCCCUCAGCCCCUCGGGGUCUCCUCAGCUUUUCGGGGUCCCCUCAAGCCUUUCGAGGUCCCCUCAGCCCUUCCCGGUCUCCUUAGCCUUUCGGGGUCCCCUCAAGCCUUUCGGGGUCCCCUCAGUCCUUCUCGGUCCCCUCAGCCCCUCGGGGUCCCCUCAGCUUUUCGGGGUCCCCUCAGCUUUUCGGGGUCCCCUCAGCCCUUCCCGGUCUCCUUAGCCUUUCGGGGUCCCCUCAAGCCUUUCGGGGUCCCCUCAGUCCUUCUCGGUCCCCUCAGCCCCUCGGGGUCCCCUCAGCUUUUCGGGGUCCCCUCAGCCCUUCCCGGUCCCCUCAGCCUUUCGCGUUUCCCUCAGCUUUUCCCGGUCCCCUCAACCUUUCGGGGUCCCCUCAAGCCUUUCGGGGUCCCCUCAGCUUUUCCCGGUUCCCUCAGCCCCUCGGGGUCCCCUCAGCCCUUCCCGGUUCCCUCAGGCCGACUCGAUCCCCUCAGCUUUUCCCGGUCCCCUCAGCUUUUCCCGAUCCCCUCAGCCCUUCCCGAUCCCCUCAGCCCUUCCCGGUCCCCUCAGCCCUUUCCCUGUUCUCUCAGCCUUUCGGGGUCGCCUCAGCCUUUUCCCGGUCCCUUCAGCCCUUCCCGGACGCCCCGCACCCCCGUCCCCUCAGCGCGGCGGGGCCUGGAGCGGCGGGGCCGCCAUCCCGCGGCGCGAAUUCCUGGGAUGCCGCCGGCAGCGCUGCCGGGAGCUGUAGUCCGGAACCCACCCCCGCCUU
rnacentral:lncRNA from 1 species